AAUGAAGACAAACAUGAACUGCAAAUACAUCUCGAAUAGGUCUCUCUUGUACCACCUUUUCCUAAGCCAACUCAUUAUGAUGGGAGGGCAAACAAGGAAGUAGAAGAAUGCAGAAAUGGCCAAUUGGAUCAACACCGAAACCAAGUCUUCUUCAUUAUUUACUCCUGUCACUGCCAAUACCGGCUCAGCACUACAUACCGUGGAUAAAACUAGUGUUCCAAUUUGAAUAGCCAGUGAAGAUUUUGAAUUGCUUUCAAUUUGAAUAGCCUUCAAAUUGAUGCCAAAUUUUGAUGCCUCUAUCUUAAUACAAGAGUAAUUUCUGUUAUGUGGUUUCUCAAUUUUGCGAGGAAGACAAGGCAAAGCCUUAGGAACAA
rnacentral:misc_RNA from 1 species